AUAUCCCCCAGAAGCAAGGGACUGGCAACAAUCCAGAAAGCCACGACGAAGGACAAGUUGGUUGUCAGGUAUGCCAACACCUGACGCUAAGGCCCCUGCCAAAGUCAAGGUCACACUUGUUCCCCACCAGGAUGAUCGGUGUGUGCUGCGCGGGGCGGAAACGCCGCAGGGUAAUCCGGAGCUGGGAGGCUCGCAGGAAUGAGGCCCGGUCAGUUACAGAGUACAGCAACAGCUCGCAGUCGUCGCUGUCCAUGCUGUCCGCUGCCCCGGCGAAGAUGCUGGCGAAGGCUGUUUUGCCGACCCCGCUG